rnacentral:rRNA from 1 species
AGAGUUUGAUCCUGGCUCAGGAUGAACGCCGGCGGUGUGCCUAAUACAUGCAAGUCGUACGCACUGGCCCAACUGAUUGAUGGUGCUUGCACCUGAUUGACGAUGGAUCACCAGUGAGUGGCGGACGGGUGAGUAACACGUAGGUAACCUGCCUCGGAGCGGGGGAUAACAUUUGGAAACAGAUGCUAAUACCGCAUAACAACAAAAGCCACAUGGCUUUUGUUUGAAAGAUGGCUUUGGCUAUCACUCUGGGAUGGACCUGCGGUGCAUUAGCUAGUUGGUAAGGUAACGGCUUACCAAGGCAAUGAUGCAUAGCCGAGUUGAGAGACUGAUCGGCCACAAUGGAACUGAGACACGGUCCAUACUCCUACGGGAGGCAGCAGUAGGGAAUCUUCCACAAUGGGCGCAAGCCUGAUGGAGCAACACCGCGUGAGUGAAGAAGGGUUUCGGCUCGUAAAGCUCUGUUGUUGGAGAAGAACGUGCGUGAGAGUAACUGUUCACGCAGUGACGGUAUCCAACCAGAAAGUCACGGCUAACUACGUGCCAGCAGCCGCGGUAAUACGUAGGUGGCAAGCGUUAUCCGGAUUUAUUGGGCGUAAAGCGAGCGCAGGCGGUUGCUUAGGUCUGAUGUGAAAGCCUUCGGCUUAACCGAAGAAGUGCAUCGGAAACCGGGCGACUUGAGUGCAGAAGAGGACAGUGGAACUCCAUGUGUAGCGGUGGAAUGCGUAGAUAUAUGGAAGAACACCAGUGGCGAAGGCGGCUGUCUGGUCUGCAACUGACGCUGAGGCUCGAAAGCAUGGGUAGCGAACAGGAUUAGAUACCCUGGUAGUCCAUGCCGUAAACGAUGAGUGCUAAGUGUUGGGAGGUUUCCGCCUCUCAGUGCUGCAGCUAACGCAUUAAGCACUCCGCCUGGGGAGUACGACCGCAAGGUUGAAACUCAAAGGAAUUGACGGGGGCCCGCACAAGCGGUGGAGCAUGUGGUUUAAUUCGAAGCAACGCGAAGAACCUUACCAGGUCUUGACAUCCAGUGCAAACCUAAGAGAUUAGGUGUUCCCUUCGGGGACGCUGAGACAGGUGGUGCAUGGCUGUCGUCAGCUCGUGUCGUGAGAUGUUGGGUUAAGUCCCGCAACGAGCGCAACCCUUGUCAUUAGUUGCCAUCAUUAAGUUGGGCACUCUAAUGAGACUGCCGGUGACAAACCGGAGGAAGGUGGGGAUGACGUCAAGUCAUCAUGCCCCUUAUGACCUGGGCUACACACGUGCUACAAUGGACGGUACAACGAGAAGCGAACCUGCGAAGGCAAGCGGAUCUCUUAAAGCUGUUCUCAGUUCGGACUGUAGGCUGCAACUCGCCUACACGAAGCUGGAAUCGCUAGUAAUCGCGGAUCAGCACGCCGCGGUGAAUACGUUCCCGGGCCUUGCACUCACCGCCCGUCA